GACGAACGCUGGCGGCGUGCUUAACACAUGCAAGUCGAACGGAAAGGCCCUGCUUUUGUGGGGUGCUCGAGUGGCGAACGGGUGAGUAACACGUGAGUAACCUGCCCUUGACUUUGGGAUAACUUCAGGAAACUGGGGCUAAUACCGGAUAGGAGCUCCUGCUGCAUGGUGGGGGUUGGAAAGUUUCGGCGGUUGGGGAUGGACUCGCGGCUUAUCAGCUUGUUGGUGGGGUAGUGGCUUACCAAGGCUUUGACGGGUCGCCGGCCUGAGAGGGUGACCGGCCACAUGGGGACUGCGAUACGGACCAGACUCCUACGGGAGGCAGCAGGGGGGAAUAUUGCACAAUGGGCGGAAGCCUGAUGCAGCAACGCCGCGUGCGGGAUGACGGCCUUCGGGUUGUAAACCGCUUUCGCCUGUGACGAAGCGUGAGUGACGGUAAUGGGUAAAGAAGCACCGGCUAACUACGUG
rnacentral:rRNA from 1 species